rnacentral:rRNA from 1 species
GACGAACGCUGGCGGCGUGCUUAACACAUGCCAGUCGAACGGAAAGGCCCUGCUUUUGUGGGGUGCUCGAGUGGCGAACGGGUGAGUAACACGCGAGUAACCUGCCCCUGACUUUGGGAUAACUUCAGGAAACUGGGGCUAAUAUCGGAUAGGAGCUCCUGCUGCACGGUGGGGGUUGGAAAGUUUCGGCGGUUGGGGAUGGACUAGCGGCUUAUCAGCUUGAUGGUGGGGUAGUUGCUUACCAAGCUUUUGACGGGUAGCCGGCAUGGGAGGUUUACCGGCCACAAUGGGACUAAGAUACGGCGCAGAAUCCUACGGGAGGCAGCAGUGGGGAGUAUGGCACAAUGGGCGGAAGCCAGAGACAGCAACGCCGCGUGCGUGAUGACGGCCUUCGGGUUAUAAACCGCUUUCGCCUGUGACGAAGCGUGAGUGACGGUAAUGGGUAAAGAAGCACCGGCUAACUACGUG